rnacentral:piRNA from 2 species
CGGAAGUGGGAGUAAUGAAGAGG